UACAGCACAAGAUAUUCAAGAUAUUCAAAAGUGCUAUAUAAAUAUUAACACUUAAUGUUUAUAUAGCACUUUUGAAUAUCUUGAGUGGUUUACCCGUU